GCCCGCCGGCGGGCGGGACGAGGCGGGGCAGGGUGGCCGGCACCGUGACGGAGCCGGGGCGAGACUUGCGGUGAGGAGAGGCAGCCCGGUUAUAUGGCUCUAAGGCACCGUUGCUGCCGUCGUUUGUUUUCCCAAAGCGUUACCGUGCGCGAGUGCUCCGCUGGGGCUCGCUCCCAGGCUGUGCCGGGGGCAGGGUUCUUAUGAACUAUGCUGCAGUCUGUAGUCCAGCCAGAAUUAGGAGGGACAUCCCACGUUUUUCCUGACGCGCUUUCCUGACAAGGCCAGGAGCUGCCUCGGUCUUGCUGCUGGUAAAUAUUAAAGCAAUUCAGUGUGCUGCGUAUGUACCUAGCGCUUCUGUGCUGGAUCGGGAUAUUUUUUAUACAGGGAACAGCUGUUCUGCAGGUCUUUUUUUAAAUGUACACCGUUGGGAAUGUGACACUUAUGUCACCCUUCCUUGCCCUAGACUUCUGUGUUUCUUAUGUUAACAUGAACACACCCAGCAUUUCAUGGGCAAGCAACAAGAAAUACUUUUAUUAUAUCCAACUUUGAUUACAUACAGUUGGGAACAUUUGACAAAUUUUAUUUUUUCUUUAAAAAGCUCUUAUUCUCAAUUACAAAGGUAACAAGAAAAAAUGCAAAAAAUAUGCAUCUGUGCUUCAGUUCCUUCCCCCUGGAGAAUGGACAUGUCCCUCAAAAAUCUGCAUUCCACGUAGUAUUUCACCUAGGCAAUCUCCUUAGUACAGAAUUAGGAUACUUUUCUGACAUCAUGGGAUUAUCAGCAAUAACAGAAAGAUAGUGAAUGAACUAAUAAUAUAUCACUUGUCUUAACUGGUCUUCUUAGGUCUCUAGCUGGAUCAGCUGGUUUCAUAACACUGAGAAUUACAACUCAGGUAGAAUCAUUAGGUUUCCAGUAAUGAAAUUAUCUCCUUCCCAUCUGCUCCAUGCACACUCCCACCCUCAUGUAUUUGUUCUUUUUCCAAACUCAGACUUACCUGAGGGCUCUUCCAAACCCAGUUAGGCCACACAACUUUAUUAUGCUAAAAAUAUGUUAUAUAAGUUAAUAGCUUUCUAGACUCUUUUGAUUGGAAAAAAAACGAUUGCUAAGAAGAGAUUGGGGAUGGUUAACCACUGCACCCCUGGGUUUAUACACAAGCAGAAUUAACCCUCCUCCCAGACUGUAUGACCUCGGAGACUAUGCAUCUCUGAGCAUUCACUUCAUGCCUGAGUGCUACAGACAAAAGCUCAAUAUUUACGGCUUGUCCAGCUCUUAAGAGUUAUCAUAUUGUUUCUUAUUUUUUUUUCAGUUAUAUUGCAAAACAACAGAUGCUCUUUUAAGAAAACAAAUAGUUUUACUUUAAAAGUACUAUAUAGAUUGCAAUGACUUCUGCUUGUGCCAGUGUUAACAGAAAGAUUACUACCCAGAAGACAAAAUGAAAUUAAUAAGCAUAAAGCACAGUGGUUAAGUUACAAAACAAAUGUAUGUAAGUAGUUUAAUGGCUUAUUUUAUCACAUGUUCAAAUUUACAACUGUAAUAGAAAAAAAUAAAUCUGUUUUAACAUCUUUC